UGCGAAGGGGGCUAGCGUUGCUCGGAAUCACUGGGCGUAAAGCGCACGUAGGCGGACUCUUAAGUCGGUGGUGAAAUCCUGGAGCUCAACUCCAGAACUGCCUUCGAUACUGGGAGUCUCGAGUCCGGGAGAGGUGAGUGGAACUGCGAGUGUAGAGGUGAAAUUCGUAGAUAUUCGCAAGAACACCAGUGGCGAAGGCGGCUCACUGGUCCGGUACUGACGCUGAGGUGCGAAAGCGUGGGGAGCAAACAGG
rnacentral:rRNA from 1 species